rnacentral:lncRNA from 1 species
UAUUUGAUUUCAUUUAAACCAAAUUCAAGUAAACAAAGCUAUUACAUUCCAUUCAACCAUCAUAUCUUUUUUACAUUUAAUCAUCCACCAAAUACAUGAUUGUUUACAACUUUACAUCUCUAAUUCAACAAAAUAAAGCUGCUACAUGUACACCAAAAGGGAAAUGACUACAAAAUGUAAUGCUACUCCGGUGGCCGCUACCUACGGCGCUAAACCCUUGCCUCGGUCCUCCGCCGCCCCGCUCGUGCUAGGACCUGUAGGGUUAGUGGUGUGAGAACUACAACGAA